rnacentral:antisense_RNA from 1 species
GCAUCUGGCGGGCGAAUCGGGAGCUUCUUUUGAAGCGCCAGUAGUCACACACACUGGUACGCCAAUUCCUUUUCGUCCGCCGCCAGC